rnacentral:snRNA from 1 species
AUUGCUUCUCUGCCUUUUGGAUAAGAUCAAGUGUAGUAUCUGUUCUUAUCAGCUGGUAGGAUAUCUCUUAGCUAAAGGAGGUGUGGUAGUCCCCAUCCACU